ACCUUUAGCUCAGUGGGUAAAGCAUGAGACUCUUAACCUCAGGGUCUUUGGUUCAAGCCCCAUGUUGGGCA